rnacentral:rRNA from 1 species
GAUGAACGCUGGCGGCGUGCUUAACACAUGCAAGUCGAACGGAAAGGCCCAAGCUUGCUUGGGUACUCGAGUGGCGAACGGGUGAGUAACACGUGGGUGAUCUGCCCUGCACUUCGGGAUAAGCCUGGGAAACUGGGUCUAAUACCGGAUAGGACCACAUUUUGGAUGGUGUGGUGGAAAGUUUUUCGGUGUGGGAUGAGCUCGCGGCCUAUCAGCUUGUUGGUGGGGUAAUGGCCUACCAAGGCGUCGACGGGUAGCCGGCCUGAGAGGGUGUACGGCCACAUUGGGACUGGGAUACGGCCCAGACUCCUACGGGAGGCAGCAGUAGGGAAUAUUGCACAAUGGGCGGAAGCCUGAUGCAGCGACGCCGCGUGGGGGAUGACGGCCUUCGGGUUGUAAACUCCUUUCGCUAGGGACGAAGCGCAAGUGACGGUACCUGGAGAAGAAGCACCGGCUAACUACGUG